UACGUAGGGUGCAAGCGUUAUCCGGAAUUACUGGGCGUAAAGCGCGCGUAGGCGGUUUGUUAAGUCAGCUGUGAAAGCCCUGGGCUCAACCUGGGAACUGCAGUUGAUACUGGCCGACUAGAGUACGAGAGAGGGAGGUAGAAUUCCAUGUGUAGCGGUGAAAUGCGUAGAUAUAUGGAGGAAUACCAGUGGCGAAGGCGGCCUCCUGGCUCGAUACUGACGCUGAGGUGCGAAAGCGUGGGGAUCAAACAGG
rnacentral:rRNA from 1 species